rnacentral:tRNA from 1 species
GUGGGCGUGGCGAAGAAGCUAACGCGGCCGGCUGCAACCCGGUUACUCGGGGGUGCGAAUCCCUCCGCCCACU